CCUGGCCUCUCAAGAUUCAGCUUUCACCCUGCGGCCAGCUGGCCUGACCAUCUGCCUCCUUUCCGCCUCCCUCCCUCCUUCUCUUCACCUAUAUAAUCGACUUCCUGUGAAAAAGAUAUUGAGGCUGAUUCACAAGGACUUAGUCAAAUGGGUCUGAGAAGUCUCCAGGCACAGGAAAGUACCCCCUGUGGGUUGUCAAGAACCUCCUGGCUGCUGUGGAUGGAGGUCCUCCAGAGCAGGUAUGGAAGUGGAUUUACACUGGAGACCAGAGGACCAAAGAAGGGAGAUGCUACUCAAAGGAGGCUGACCCUGACCUGCCAGAGGAAGCACAAUUCAAACAGGUCUACUGCUAAUAACUUUAUCAUUUUACUUGGUCCCAGAAAAUUGAGGAGUCCUACACACUUAAUAGCCUAGGAACAAAGGGUAAUCAUCCCCUUGUUUAAGCCCAUCUCUUGUUUGUGUAUUCCCUCAUUUAAGAAAUUAGGCCAGGAGGAGGCAAGCAGGGAACAGGAAAUUCUUCAUAGUUACUACUUAAUAGUAGUAGUAGUAGUGUUAGAAAGUUAAGACAUUAGCAGGCCUGGAGAUACUCAACUGGAGACUAUGUCAAAAGCAAGGAAAAUAGAACUGUUUUUCUUCACUUUCUUAAUUAUUAGCUAUGAUAAAAUCCACACAAGCUUGCAAUUUCAAACUUUAGCCCAAGAGAAUGUAACAGGGUCCAUACAAAGUCCUGACCAUGGUGAAGGGUUGGAAAAGCCUCAAGAUCUCAAAACAAACAAAAAGGAAAACAUGUGCCUGUGGAAUGAAUGAGGACCUGCUUUCCUCUGAAGUAGGUCAGUACAGCCCAUUUUCCUUGUGAAAGAACAAUGACCUCAGAGGAAGGGAAGAACAUUCCUUGAAAGACCCAGUGAAUCAUGCAAACACAACCUGAGACUUCAGUGCAACUGCCAUCUUGGUGUUUGCCCACCUUCGAAGGUGGAUUCUCCCUCCCACUCUGAAAAUCUAUCAUUUUGCAAUAAACUCUGCCUG